CACCGCCGCACCCUUUCUUCUCUCAUUCAUCCACAUCCUGGCCCUAAAGAUGGCCUCUCUUUUUUUGUGUAAUUGUUUGGUGUUAUUCACCGAUCUCAUUUCACAAAUGGAUAUGGCUAAUCAUUCAGGAGCAGACUAUAGCAUGUUGAUUGUUCAUGGCGUUUCAAGGGCUCAAUUGAGAAAGAGAAGCAUCAAGCAAAUGUUCCGGACAUAGGUACAGAAGAAAAAGACGUCCGGCUUCCUGCAGUCCCUAUACUUGAUAAUGAUGCAUUUAACCGUUUUAGAGAACCAAAAAAGAGAACUCAAAUCGGAGAGAAACAUCAAGCAAACGUUCCGGACAUAGUUACGAAAGAAACAAUAAAAAUGAGGAGAACAAAUUCAUAGGUACAGAAGAAAAAGACGUCCGGCUUCCUGCAGUCCCUAUACUUGAUAAUGAUGCAUUUAUACUUGGUUUAUAUAUAAAUCUUAUGUAAUUAGAAAUCCUAUUUUCAUUCAAGAUUGAAGCUU